ensembl:lncRNA
UUUAAAACUCUUGAAAUAAAGUCUGAAGCACUGAAAGGCACUGAGGAAAAAAACAAAGCUGUCGAGCUAGAGAAACCUGACACAUUCCUGGGGUUUUAUCAAAUGGCUGACUUAUUUAGGCUGUUAUUUUUAUUCUACUUUUAUUCACAAAAACAUCACCAUGUAACAUAUUGCCUGGAACGUGGGCUCUGGGGAUUCUCAUUUUUCACGGCUGUAAUUCAUCCGCUGCCUGAAGAAGGUGAGGCUUAUUUGCAUCUGCAGAAAGGGCAGCCRUAGGAAACCGGACGAGAGCCAGGGAGUGGCAGAGGGUGCUUGCACGCGAGCAAGUGUGCGUGUCCCGGAGGAUGCACACAACCUCACCUAAGCCGACGGCCGCCAAGAGUUAACAGGGGCGCACAGUUAGCCUAGGCCUACACAUUCGUCCUCCCAGUGUCUUUGUCAGGAGUUAGAAACCGUCUGGGAAACCGCGAAGCAGCGUCUAAGGGACCGAGCGGCUCACUCCGGAGUCUGGGGACGCGGAGUUGACGCAAAACUGGCGAAUCUGCGGCCGAAAAGCGGCCCCCACCGCCCUCAGUGCCCUGAGCCGCACAGCUGAGGGGUAAACUCUUCGCCCCAGGGCGUCCUCAGCGUCCGGCCGAGCCCGCAAGCAGGGCGACAGCCCGGAAGGGUCAAGGCUUGGCGAGCGCCGCCGCCUCACAAUUGGGACGCGCGCCGGUGACGUCACAUGGCCGCGGCCCGCCUCCUGCGUCGGGAAAGAGACUGCCGCCCAUUGGCUGCGCCACCGGCGGCCUCGGGGCCAAUGACAGGGCGGCGAGCGGCGGGGUCUAGCCCUGACGUUGUGCUGCCGCCGCGGGGUUUAUUUGGCUCCGGGUCCCUGGUCGCCGCCAUUAGGAGUCCGCAGCGCCCGAGGCCGCCCCCCUCUCCGCCCCCGCCCCCCGGCGCCCCCCCGCCUCCGCGCCUCCUCUCCGCCCCUCUCCCCCCGCCUCCGGCAGUCGGGAGCCGCGCGCGGGCCCGCGGAGACCAUGUCCUGACUGAGGCGGGAGGGCGGAGGCGGCAGCAGCGGGGCGGGCGGCGGCGCCGAGGGAGGCGGAGAGGGGCCGGGCUCGGCUGGUCGCCGCGGGCUGUGCGGGAGUCGCCGCCGCCGCCGCCGCCGCCGGGCGCUGAGCCUCGUACGGGGAGGAGGAGCGGGAGCUGGAGGAGGAGCCGCCGCCGCCGCCAGCCAUUUCUAAGAAAAUCCAGGUGGGGAGCGACGAGGCGGAUGGCGAGGAGGAGCUGGAACUCGUGGAAAGAUUAUCUGGCUCUCCGCUUGCAACAAUGAUUGCUCAGUGCAAGUAUCUGUUGUUUCUCUGCUGUAGUUUGGUGCGGGUCAUUUUACAGACAAAAUAGCUGUAAUUU